CAACAUUCUUCUUUUCCUAUCCCAACAUUCCCCCCCUGGGCCCCACAUUCCUUACCCCAAACCCAGCAUUCCGAUAUCCCAUCUCUACAAUCAAUUCAACAUUCCCUCAGACCCAGCAUUCCACCCCUUCAAUGCCAGCAUUCCAUCUCUCAGUCCCCCAAUGCCAACAUUCCAGCCCUUCAAACCCCAAUGCUUUCACCCACGUCCUUCUAAUUUACACAUUCCACCCAGUGCAUGCAACUUGGAAAGGGCAGUGGGGUCUGGGCCUAUCCCGUUGGCAAGUUGGGUGUCCUUGGGAGAACUUCCAGAUAUGCAUACAUGGUCUUUGACCAUAGAUGCUGGUACCCGGGCUCGCAGAGCACUUUCUCAUUUAGAAGAUCUCACUGGGGUUCCACAGUCAUCCAUGCUGCAGGACUCAGCUGAUUUCUUUCACUCUGGUGACCUUGCCCCACCCCCUGGGGUCUUCAUCCUUCAGACCUUGCUGCUACUCUUUUGGAUUGGAAGGGGACAGACUGACUAUCUGGUCUAGGAUGACAACGUGAGUAGGGCCUUGGGAGGUCAGGGAUGAAGCAGGAAGGGGCAGCAGGCUGGGACUCACAGUGGUCUUUUCUAGGCAGUGUAGCAAGUGGUGGUGCUGGCUCUCGAUGAGUGACGUGGUCUUGCCCAUGUGCUCCUCUUCCGGGGUGCCCUAGUGAGAAAGAAAGAAGGACUGAGCACGACGCUGUUGUCUUCUCCUCUCUUCAGCCUCUUCAUUUCUUCACAGAAGCUCUCGCGGACACCUACCGUCAGCUCCAGGGCUUCGUUGAGGAGUCCAUUGCGCUUGCUGUGCAGAAUGCAUACAGUGGGAACAGGAAUCAGAAACCCAUCCACGGAGAAGAUGGAAAGGUCUUUCCGUCAAGACUCUCUCAGUCAGGAACUCCAGCUGACUGCCUCAGUUUCCCCAGUUUGCUUCUGCUGGAUGAGUGUAAGUGCUCAAUGUGAUGAUGCUGUUUCUCUGCUGCUGUUUGUUCUUUUACUUGGAAGCCUCACCUGAGGGGACACUCUGCUUUGUCCAGGACUCUCUCAAUCAAGAACUCCAGCCAGCUGCCUCAACAGAGCUUUCCCAGUCAAUUUCUGCUGGAUGUUUGUAAGCCCUCGAUUUGACGCAUUUACCUGCUGUUUGCCUUUUCACUCGAUUUGAUGUUGUUUUGCCAUCUAUCCGCUGUUUCAACCUACCUGUUCCUUGCUAUUUACUCCUUUUCCUUUUGCUUGCUACAUGCUCGAUAGACGCAUUCAUUCAAAACCCAAAGCAUGGCUAUUGUCGAUCAUUCUUGGACUGUACAGACUAUACCUUUGGGACCACACCAAUCUCUUUUAAAGAAAUUUGAAGCUUCUCUGGAGCUACUGGCAGCUAUGUUUUCUGCUGUGGGGAAACACCGCAUUGCUGUUAGGAAGGGAAAGGCUGAAGCACAGAAGGAGAUCAAAGCUGGAAUAUGAUGGAGUUUGAGCUGUGGUCCUCGCUGGGUUUGAGGGCCAGCUGUACCCUUGACUUUUCACCACAUCUCAGUUGAUCUAUCCGGGCCCCACCCACAUGAUCCGGCUCACUAGCGGUUUUGCUUACUCUUCGUUCAUUUGGAUCCAAUAAAG